rnacentral:rRNA from 1 species
GAGAGUUUGAUCAUGGCUCAGAACGAACGCUGGCGGCAGGCCUAACACAUGCAAGUCGAGCGCACCUUCGGGUGAGCGGCGGACGGGUUAGUAACGCGUGGGAACGUGCCCAGAUCUAAGGAAUAGCCACUGGAAACGGUGAGUAAUACCUUAUACGCCCUUCGGGGGAAAGAUUUAUCGGAUUUGGAUCGGCCCGCGUUAGAUUAGAUAGUUGGUGGGGUAACGGCCUACCAAGUCUACGAUCUAUAGCUGGUUUUAGAGGAUGAUCAGCAACACUGGGACUGAGACACGGCCCAGACUCCUACGGGAGGCAGCAGUGGGGAAUCUUGGACAAUGGGGGCAACCCUGAUCCAGCCAUGCCGCGUGAGUGAUGAAGGCCUUAGGGUCGUAAAGCUCUUUCGCCAGGGAUGAUAAUGACAGUACCUGGUAAAGAAACCCCGGCUAACUCCGUGCCAGCAGCCGCGGUAAUACGGAGGGGGUUAGCGUUGUUCGGAAUUACUGGGCGUAAAGCGCGCGUAGGCGGACCAGAAAGUUGG